rnacentral:rRNA from 1 species
GAUGAACGCUGGCGGUAUGCCUAACACAUGCAAGUCGAACGAAGUCUUCGGACUUAGUGGCGGACGGGUGAGUAACGCGUGAGGAUCUGCCUCUUGAAUGGGGACAACAGUUGGAAACGACAGCUAAUACCCAAUAAGCCGAAAGGUGAAAGAUUUAUCGUCAAGAGAGGAGCUCGCGUCCGAUUAGCUAGUUGGUGGGGUAAAAGCCUACCAAGGCGGCGAUCGGUAGCUGGUCUGAGAGGAUGAGCAGCCACACUGGGACUGAGACACGGCCCAG